UAGGGAAUCUUCCACAAUGGGCGAAAGCCUGAUGGAGCAACGCCGCGUGUGUGAUGAAGGGUUUCGGCUCGUAAAACACUGUUGUAAGAGAAGAAUGACAUUGAGAGUAACUGUUCAAUGUGUGACGGUAUCUUACCAGAAAGGAACGGCUAAAUACGUACCAG
rnacentral:rRNA from 1 species